UACGUAGGGUGCAAGCGUUGUCCGGAAUUAUUGGGCGUAAAGAGCGUGUAGGCGGCCCGAUUAGUCCGCUGUGAAAGUCCAGGGCUCAACCCUGGAAUGCCGGUGGAUACUGUCGGGCUAGAGUCCGGAAGGGGCGAGUGGAAUUCCUGGUGUAGCGGUGAAAUGCGCAGAUACCAGGAGGAACACCAAUGGCGAAGGCAGCUCGCUGGGACGUGACUGACGCUGAGACGCGAAAGCGUGGGGAGCAAACAGG
rnacentral:rRNA from 1 species